rnacentral:rRNA from 1 species
UACGAAGGGGGCUAGCGUUGUUCGGAAUCACUGGGCGUAAAGGGCGCGUAGGCGGCUUGAUAAGUCGGGGGUGAAAGCCUGUGGCUCAACCACAGAAUUGCCUUCGAUACUGUCGAGCUUGAGACCGGAAGAGGUAAGUGGAACUGCGAGUGUAGAGGUGAAAUUCGUAGAUAUUCGCAAGAACACCAGUGGCGAAGGCGGCUUACUGGUCCGGUUCUGACGCUGAGACGCGAAAGCGUGGGGAGCAAACAGG